UGAGGUAUAGCUCAGUGGUAGAGUGCAUGCUUAGCAUGCACGAGGUCCUGGGUUCCAUCCCCAGUACCUCCA
rnacentral:tRNA from 1 species